GGGGAUUUAGCUGAGUGGCAUAAGUGUCUGCCUGGCAAGCACAAGGAUAUGAGUACAAUCCCUG
rnacentral:tRNA from 1 species